rnacentral:piRNA from 1 species
UGCAUCUAUCCUACGCUCUGAAUAGGUCU